ACAUGCAGUCGAACGGUAACAGGAAGAAGCUUGCUUCUUUGCUGACGAGUGGCGGACGGGUGAGUAAUGUCUGGGAAACUGCCUGAUGGAGGGGGAUAACUACUGGAAACGGUAGCUAAUACCGCAUAACGUCGCAAGACCAAAGAGGGGGACCUUCGGGCCUCUUGCCAUCGGAUGUGCCCAGAUGGGAUUAGCUAGUAGGUGGGGUAACGGCUCACCUAGGCGACGAUCCCUAGCUGGUCUGAGAGGAUGACCAGCCACACUGGAACUGAGACACGGUCCAGACUCCUACGGGAGGCAGCAGUGGGGAAUUUUGGACAAUGGGGGCAACCCUGAUCCAGCAAUGCCGCGUGUGUGAAGAAGGCCUUCGGGUUGUAAAGCACUUUUGUCCGGAAAGAAAACGCCGUGGUUAAUACCCGUGGCGGAUGACGGUACCGGAAGAAUAAGCACCGGCUAACUACGUGCCAGCAGCCGCGGUAAUACGUAGGGUGCAAGCGUUAAUCGGAAUUACUGGGCGUAAAGCGUGCGCAGGCGGUCCGCUAAGACAGAUGUGAAAUCCCCGGGCUUAACCUGGGAACUGCAUUUGUGACUGGCGGGCUAGAGUAUGGCAGAGGGGGGUAGAAUUCCACGUGUAGCAGUGAAAUGCGUAGAGAUGUGGAGGAAUACCGAUGGCGAAGGCAGCCCCCUGGGCCAAUACUGACGCUCAUGCACGAAAGCGUGGGGAGCAAACAGGAUUAGAUACCCUGGUAGUCCACGCCCUAAACGAUGUCAACUAGUUGUCGGGUCUUCAUUGACUUGGUAACGUAGCUAACGCGUGAAGUUGACCGCCUGGGGAGUACGGUCGCAAGAUUAAAACUCAAAGGAAUUGACGG
rnacentral:rRNA from 1 species